rnacentral:rRNA from 1 species
GACGUAGGGCGCGAGCGUUUGUCCGGAUUUAUUGGGCGUAAAGAGCUCGUAGGCGGCUUGUCGCGUCGAAUGUGAAAUCUCAGGGCUCAACUCUGACAUUGCAUUCGAUACGGGCAGGCUAGAGUUCGGUAGGGGAGACUGGAAUUCCUGGUGUAGCGGUGAAAUGCGCAGAUAUCAGGAGGAACACCGAUGGCGAAGGCAGGUCUCUGGGCCGAUACUGACGCUGAGGAGCGAAAGCGUGGGGAGCGAACAGG